AUUGAACGCUGGCGGCAGGCCUAACACAUGCAAGUCGGACGAGUGGCGGACGGGUGAGCAAUGUCUGGGAAACUGCCUGAUGGAGGGGGACAACUACUGGAAACGGUAGCUACUACCGCAUACCAUCAGAUGGGCCCAGGUGGGAUUAGCUAGUUGGUGGGGUAUCGGCUCACCAAGGCGACGAGCCCUAGCUGGUCUGAGAGGAUGACCAGUCACACUGGAACUGAGACACGGUCCAGACUCCUACGGGAGGCAGCAGUGGGGAAUAUUGCACAAUGGGCGCAAGCCUGAUGCAGCCAUGCCGCGUGUGUGAAGAAGGCCUUCGGAUUGUAAAGUACUUUCAGCGGGGAGGCGUUACCCGCAGAAGAAGCACCGGCUAACUCCGUGCCAGCCGCCGCGGUAAUUC
rnacentral:rRNA from 1 species